ACUUCAAGGCACCUGAAGACUUACCAGUGAAGUACAAGAAGCAGGAUGAUUGUAUGGAUACCACCACACCGUCUUAUAGAUGUUGAUAUACUGAAUGAACAGAACAAUCAGCAGGUAGAUGAAGAAAAGAAAUUCAAAGAACAGGCUCCCAUCUACUGGCUCGGUCUUAGCGCCAUCUUCCUUGAGCCUCCUGCACCAUGAGAGCGAUGUGGUGGGAGAAGAGAAUGUGCAGGUUGCACCCACAAAGCCUGCAGGAGAAGUUAGGGAUGCUCAAGGCCAGGACACCGAAACAAGCUGUCGGACUAUGUGCUGCUGUUGGUAGUAAGUCUCAGUAGACCUGGAACGUCACCUCGCCAUGAUCACCUGGGAAAAUGACUGCCUUUCUUAUGACCAAAACAGUACUGCUGGACCUCUGCCCUGGACCUUUGGCACUCUGGACUAGUUCUGCUCUCUCUUGUGGCCAAGUGCAACUCGUGUACAAUAAAUCCUUUUGUUGUCAGCUAAAGAAUCAAACAAAAG
rnacentral:lncRNA from 1 species